UACGUAGGGCGCAAGCGUUUGUCCGGAAUUAUUGGGCGUAAAGAGCUCGUAGGCGGUUUGUCGCGUCUGCUGUGAAAACCUAAGGCUCAACCUUGGGCUUGCAGUGGGUACGGGCAGACUAGAGUGCGGUAGGGGUGACUGGAAUUCCUGGUGUAGCGGUGAAAUGCGCAGAUAUCAGGAGGAACACCGGGUGGCGAAGGCGGGGUCUCUGGGGCCCGAAUACUGAC
rnacentral:rRNA from 1 species